rnacentral:rRNA from 1 species
GAUGAACGCUGGCGGCGUGCCUAAUACAUGCAAGUCGAGCGAACAGACGAGGAGCUUGCUCCUCUGACGUUAUCGGCGGACGGGUGAGUAACACGUGGAUAACCUACCUAUAAGACUGGGAUAACUUCGGGAAACCGGAGCUAAUACCGGAUAAUAUAUUGAACCGCAUGGUUCAAUAGUGAAAGACGGUUUUGCUGUCACUUAUAGAUGGAUCCGCGCCGCAUUAGCUAGUUGGUAAGGUAACGGCUUACCAAGGCGACGAUGCGUAGCCGACCUGAGAGGGUGAUCGGCCACACUGGAACUGAGACACGGUACAGACUCCUACGGGAGGCAGCAGUAGGGAAUCUUCCGCAAUGGGGGAAAGCCUGACGGAGCAACGCCGCGUGAGUGAUGAAGGUCUUCGGAUCGUAAAACUCUGUUAUUAGGGAAGAACAAAUGUGUAAGUAACUAUGCACGUCUUGACGGUACCUAAUCAGAAAGCCACGGCUAACUACGUG